rnacentral:rRNA from 1 species
AGGGCACCACCAGGAGUGGAGCCUGCGGCUUAAUUUGACUCAACACGGGGAAACUCACCCGGCCCGGACACCGUAAGGAUUGACAGAUUGAUAGCUUUUUCAUGAUUCGGUGGAUGGUGGUGCAUGGCCGUUCUUAGUUCGUGGAGCGAUUUGUCUGGUUUAUUCCGAUAACGAGCGAGACUCUAGCCUACUAAAUAGUUCGCACAUUGUCUCUGUGUGUGUGACUUCUUAGAGGGAUUUUCGGUGUUCAGCCGCACGAAAUUGUGUUUUUUUCAGGUCUGUGAUGCCCUUAGAUGUCCGGGGCUGCACGCGCGCUACACUGGCAAAAUCAGCGUGCUUGUCCUUCCCCGAAAGGGGUUGGUAAACCCUUGAAAAUUUGCCGUGAUUGGGAUUGGAAAUUGCAAUUAUUUUCCAUGAACGAGGAAUUCCAAGUAAGUGCGAGUCAUCAGCUCGCGUUGAUUACGUCCCUGCCCUUUGUACACACCGCCCGUCGCUGCCCGGGACUGAGCCAUUUCGAGA